rnacentral:piRNA from 1 species
AGUUUACUGGGAAAUGAGAUACAC